rnacentral:lncRNA from 1 species
AUCUUUGGCAAGUGUGAUAGGAAAUAGUAAUGGUUGAAUUGGAUUCAGAAUUUUUUUUUAAGUAAUUGAUUUGAUUUUAAAAUAAUAAAAAAUUAUUUUAUUAUUAUUAUUAUUAUUUUUAACUUAGGUACUCAGGAUGCCCUCUGUUGCAUGGUGGAUGGUUGCUCUUCAAACUGUUGUGUGAUUAGGAAUGUCAAUGCAGAGGGCAGAUAUGCUGAAAUCAGGAAAGAUAUCUAAGAAGACAUUUGAGAGCUCCUCUACUUGUGGAAUUCAAGCAUUGACUUUAAGUAGCACCACCUAUUAA